AAAACGCGAUAAUUCAGAGGAAUUGUAGAACUCUGAGAAUCAUUGAAAUUUUGAACGCAUAUUGUACCUUUUAGCUUCAAAAACUAAAAGGUGUGUUUGUUUGAGUGUCUAAUAUAAAUAUUUAAAAUUGAUUUUAUUUGAUAUCUUUGAAACCUUUUUUUAAAAAAAGUAUCAAAAUAUUUAAAAAUUUCUUUAAAAAAGAAAAGGCAUCAAUUUGUGAAACAUAAAAUAACAUCUUUCACAAUUUGUUAAAAUUUGAUAAACUCUUAAAACAUGACCUCAAAUCAAGCAAGAACACCCGCUGAAUUUAA
rnacentral:misc_RNA from 1 species